rnacentral:tRNA from 1 species
UCCAGGGUAGCCUAGUGGACAUGGCAUCUGCCCGGUAAGCGGAACGUUGUGGGUUCGAUUCCCAUCCCUGGAC